ACAUGCAGUCGAACGCGAAAGUCCCCUUCGGGGGACGAGUAGAGUGGCGUCCGGGUGAGUAACACGUAGGUAAUCUACCUUCGGGUGGGGAAUAACGCAGGGAAACUUGCGCUAAUACCGCAUAAUGCAGCGGCACCACAUGGUGACAGUUGUUAAAGCGGGGGAUUUUCGAACCUCGCGCCUGAAGAGGAGCCUGCGGCAGAUUAGCUAGUUGGUAGGGUAACGGCUUACCAAGGCGACGAUCUGUAGCCGGCCUGAGAGGGCGGUCGGCCACACUGACACUGACAUACGGGUCAGACUCCUACGGGAGGCAGCAGUCGGGAAUUUUGGGCAAUGGGCGAAAGCCUGACCCAGCAACGCCGCGUGAAGGAUGAAAUCCUUCGGGAUGUAAACUUCGCAAGAAUAGGAAGAAUGAGCGAGCGCUAACACCGUUCGUGAUGACGGUACUAUUUGUAAGCUCCGGCUAACUCCGUGCCAGCAGCCGCGGUAAUACGGGGGGAGCAAGCGUUGUUCGGAUUUACUGGGCGUAAAGGGCGCGUAGGCGGUCAGCACAAGUCAGUUGUGAAAUCUCCGGGCUUAACUCGGAAAGGUCAACUGAUACUGUGCGACUAGAGUGCAGAAGGGGCAACUGGAAUUCUCGGUGUAGCGGUGAAAUGCGUAGAUAUCGAGAGGAACACCUGCGGCGAAGGCGGGUUGCUGGGCUGACACUGACGCUGAUGCGCGAAAGCCAGGGGAGCGAACGGGAUUAGAUACCCCGGUAGUCCUGGCCUUAAACGAUGGAUGCUUGGUGUCUGGAGUUUAUAGUCUCCGGGUGCCGUANCUAACGCGUUAGCAUCCCGCC
rnacentral:rRNA from 1 species